rfam:Oceanobacter sp. HI0075 HI0075_c93, whole genome shotgun sequence.
ACGUGAAUACUUAAACGACACACACGGACUGAAACUGAUGUGCCGGGGUGCCUGUUUCGACAGGUCGGGGCUCAGGGUUCGUGGAGGCAUAAC